ensembl:snRNA U6 U6 spliceosomal RNA
GUGCUCACUUCAACAGCACAUAUACUACAACUGGAAUACACAGAGGAGAUUAGCACGGCUCCUGCUCAAAGACAACACACAAGAUCGUGAGGCAUUCCGUAUUUAA